GACGAACGCUGGCGGCGUGCUUAACACAUGCAAGUCGAGCGGUAAGGCCCUUUCGGGGGUACACGAGCGGCGAACGGGUGAGUAACACGUGGGUGACCUGCCCUCAGCUCUGGGAUAAGCCUGGGAAACCGGGUCUAAUACCGGAUAUGACUCCAUGACGCAUGUUGUGGGGUGGAAAGCCUUGUGCGGCUGAGGAUGGGCCCGCGGCCUAUCAGCUUGUUGGUGGGGUGANGGCCUACCAAGGCGACGACGGGUAGCCGGCCUGAGAGGGCGACCGGCCACACUGGGACUGAGACACGGCCCAGGCUCCUACGGGAGGCAGCAGUAAGGAAUAUUGCGCAAUGGGCGAAAGCCUGACGCAGCGACGCCGCGUGGGGAUGAAGGUCUU
rnacentral:rRNA from 1 species